GAGUCAUUGGGACUCCGUAUUAAACCUAAAGGCGCAAUGAAAGUAAAGGUCAGCCUCGCGCAGGCCGAGGGAGGAUGGGCCCGUUUGCGGGCGGGCCCCGCACUCCCGGGGCGUCUCGUUCUCAUCGCGAGAGGAGGCGCACCCAGAGCGUACACGCUGGGACCCGAAAGAUGGUGAACUAUGCCUGGUCAGGACGAAGUCAGGGGAAACCCUGAUGGAGGUCCGUAGCGAUUCUGACGUGCAAAUCGAUCGUCGGAACUGGGUAUAGGGGCGAAAGACUAAUCGAACCUUCUAGUAGCUGGUUCCCUCCGAAGUUUCCCUCAGGAUAGCUGGCGCUCGCCGUUUGCGAGUCUCAUUCGGUAAAGCGAAUGAUUAGAGGCAUUGGGGUCGAAACGGCCUCAACCUAUUCUCAAACUUUAAAUGGGUGAGAUCUCCGGCUUGCUUAAAGCAUGAAGCCGCGAGAUAUCGGAUCAGAGUGCCAAGUGGGCCACUUUUGGUAAGCAGAACUGGCGCUGUGGGAUGAACCAAACGCAGAGUUAAAGCGCCAAAAUCGACGCUUAUGGGAUACCAUGAAAGGCGUUGGUAA
rnacentral:rRNA from 1 species